GAUCAGAUAUACGACUGUAUCUCACGUUCUGAUGUACCAUGUCUGUUGUAUGGAUCAUGCAUGACAUGACAAGAUACAACAAACUUAAGCUUCUUUAACCAUCACUGGCUUCCUUAACAGCAGACCAAAGGAACAAGAUAAGAGCAAUGCACCACUGUUACAUUUUGAUUUAGUUUUAGUAAUAGUCUUUUGACUAAAAUGCCAUUUUGUUUUAGUCAUAUUUUAGUAGUGUGGCCAGAGGUAUAAAUACAACGUAUUUUCAACGGGUGUUAAAACAGUGUAUGGCCCCUUUAAGAGAUCACCGAUCUCUGCUCGCGAGAUUUCCUGUUUGGCAUGUGCGUGAACAGAACAGCCAUUUCGUGAUGAUUCGAGUGUAGCAGCCGAGUGCUGUGUCGUCGUGUUGGCAACGGGGAGAUUUAUUUUGAAGUUUUGCUGUCUUCCUGGAUGAGAUCGGAUGGAGUGUGAUCCACGUGAACCUCGUGUCUGGUGAUAGUGGAAACUUCCAGUAAGAGAUGGUGAUGUACCUCAGGCUUAGCCAAGACCAAGGCCAGACAUGCCCCCUGUGCUGCAGGAUAGAGCUGAAUGUGCCUGCGCUGGACCGGUGACAGGUUUGGGGCUGAGCAGCGAGGCCCUGACAGAGCUGCUGCAUCUUCUGAGAAGUGAACAUCAACAGUGAUGUGAACACAAUCCAGACCCUGGUGUUUCUCUUCUGUCUGUACAUCACACAGAGUGGUCUCCAGAGUGUUUGACAUGUGCCUCAUUCCACUGUCCACCGCAUUAUCCUCUGAGUGUCUGAGGAGCAGCUGGACAUUCACCAAGAGAUUGACCUCCUGAAGACCCCAGAACACAUGGAGACAGGGCUCAAAAAGUGAUGUUUUUCUGAUGUUAAAUCCAAGCUUACUACUCUUUUAUUUACACAUGUGAAUAUGCAAAUUAAAAAAAUUACAGAAAGUACUCAGGCUUAUAAAAUAAAAUAAACUACAGAAAUUAGGUUGUUUCACUGACAAUGCAACAUUUAAAAAUAGAUCAUAAGUUAUGACUUUAACUAUGGAUCUAUGAGACCGAAUGAUGACCGUCACCAAGGUCUUACCUUGAAUGACGCCAUUCCUCCAGCUCUCCUCGAGACCUAAUGUAAACAAUGUCAGGUGACUGACCCCUAGUGGUUGGUUCCCUAUAAAACAUCCGGAUGAACCGAACACUUCCUCUUGCCUGGAACGCCUCAGUUCAUCCCGAGUGACAAGAAAUGGUGACGGUCAUCAUUCGGUCUCAUAGAUCCAUAGUUAUAGUCAUAACUUACGAUCUUUGAGACCGAAUGAUGACCGUCACCAAGGUCUUACCUUGGAUGACUAAUGCCAUCAAGGUCACGAGGGAAUGUAAGCCUCUCCUUCUUUACAUCCCUGCUUAGCGGCCGAGAGCAGAAUUGUGGACCCAAGUGUAACUGGGUCCGCCACAUUGACCCUGUAAUACCGGGCAAAGGUACAAGGUGAGCUCCAUGAUGCCGUUGCACAUAUGUCCGUUAGUGCCACCCCCUUCAGUGCGGCCCAGGAUGUGGCCAGACUCCUGGUAGAAUGAGCUACCAGGUUCCCUGGGACUGAUAAGCUCUGACUGGAGUAUGUGUGUGCAGUAGUGUCUACUAUCCAAUGGGAUAGGCACUGUUUCGAGGCUGGUUUUAUCGAAACACAAAAACAACUGAGUGUGUAAAUGUUGUAACGACUGUGUCCGCUCAAUGUAUGUGCGAAGUGCUCGAACUGGACAUAAGGUAGCAAGAUCAAGUUUUGUACAAGAGAGAUCAGGAUCAGGUUGAAACGCUGCAAGUUCGAUUACUUGAUUGAUCGUGCAAGUAUUAAGAACUUUAGGCAGGAAAGACGGGUUCGGCCAAAGAGAGACCCCUGAAUAGUUUGCCUUCCAUCUCAGACAGUCUUCACUUACUGCUAAAGAAUGUAACUCACACACUCUCUUUGCUGAACAGAUAGCAAGAAGAAAAACUGUUUUCCACGUCAGUGAUUUAAGAUCUGCCUGGGCCAAUGGUUCAAAUGGGGCUCUAGUCAAUGACUGUAGGACCAUGUGAAGAUCCCAGGAUGGUGAUCUCAGCCUUUUGCCUGGAUAGAGGCGACGUGCACCAUUGAGAAAUUGAGUAACCAACAUGUGUUUACCAACUGAUAAACCUUCCACAAUACUGUGGAAAUGGGAAAUAGCCGCCACAUAAACUCGUACUGUGUUGACUUUUUUUCCUGAGUCUAAAAGUGACUGAAGAAUGCAUUAAAUGGAAUCGAGACCCCAAUUCAUGGGGUCUAAGUUUUUGUCCUGACACCAGUUAGAGAACACACGCCAAUUACUCGAGUAGUUAUCCCAAGUGGAAGGUGCUUUAGCAUUGUUUAUGGUUUUCCUUACUGCCUCCUCUAGCUGACAAGAGAGGGGCUCAGUAGGGGCCAAACCCAGAGUUGUAAUGUGGCUGGGUUUGGGUGCCAGAUCUGUCCCUCCACUUGAGAGAGAAGGUCUGUUCUGGUUGGUAGUGGCCAUGGAUGGCCCUGUACCAGACAUAGGAGAAGUGGGAACCAAUGUCUCUUUGGCCAAUUCGGGGCGAUCAGUAAGAUCUUGCAACAUCCCAGAUCCACCCUUUUGAGCACAUGAGGAAUCAAUGGUAGGGGAGGAAAAGCGUAUAAUAAACCUCCCGGCCACUCGUGAGACAGUGCAUCCAGUCCCAAAGGCCCUCCUUGGCCACUCAGAGAGAACCACAUCUUGCAAUGGGUUGUCUCGGCUGAUGCAAACAGGUCGGUGUGGGCUCUCCCAAACCGGGUCCAAAUGAGAUGCACCACCUCCGGGUGUAAUUGCCAUUCCCCCGGGAGAGGUCCAGUUCGGGAGAGGAGAUCGGCUGCGCGGUUCACUUUACUCUCAGCUCCUGCACAUUGAUGUGUUCCAUAGUCCAUGGGAACAUCCAUGAGCCUCUGACUGAUCUUUCUUGCCAGACAGCCCCCCAACCUUUCAGAGAAGCAUCGGUUGUCACCACCAUUCUCCUCGCUGGUAUAUUCCCCAGAGGAACACCUUGACCCAACCUGCUGCUGCUUAUCCAUGGACGCAGAGCCUGAACACAUUUCUGUGUGACUUUCAACUUCACUCGCCUGUGUAAUUUUGGGUGGAGUUGAAAUUUGUUGAUCCACCAUUGCAAUGGUCAUGCUUUGAGCAGUCCCAGAGGCACUACCUUUAUGGCUGCCGAUAUCAUCCCCAGUAAUCUUUGGAACUGUGCCAACUCCAUUCGCUUGCCUAAGCGGAAAGAUAGUGCCAGGGCAGAUAACCUUGCUACCCUCUGUGGGGACAGAUAUGCUGUCAUUGUUAAGGUGUUCAAAACUAACCCUACAAAUACGGUUUCUUGCCGUGGUUUGACAUUGCUUUUUUUGAGAUUCAUGCGGAACCCAAGCUCUUGUACAUGGUUGAUAACAGCCUCUGUAUCUCUUAGAACCUUGUGACGGCUUGGUGCACAGAUUAGCCAGUCGUCCAGUUAUGGGAGGAUCUUUAUACCCACUGCCUGAAGAAGGUAAAGAACGGCUGACACCACCCUGGUAAAUACACGGGGAGAGAGGGAAAGGCCAAAGGGAAGGACCUCAAAUUGAUAUGCUUGGCCUUGAAAAGCAAAGCGAAGGAACUUCCUGUGAUCUGGAUGAAUGGACACAUGAAAGUAUGCAUCUUUGAGGUCUAGUGUUGUAAACCACUCGUUUGGCUCUAUAACCUCCAAGAUUUGGGCGGUGGUCAGCAUCUUGAAUGGCAACACUUUUAUGUAUGCAUUCAGACGUCUUAGGUCUAAAAUGGGUCGGAGACCACCAUCUUUUUUGGGCACAAGGAAAUAGUUCGAAUAAAACCCAGUGUGCUGUUCGCAGGGUUGUAGCUGUGUAAUUGCCUUCUUCCCAAGAAGGGUUGUUAUUUCUUUGGAUAAAAUUUCUGCCUGGACUGCGUCUUUGACCACAGUUAAGUGAAUCCCUGAAAACAAAGGAGGUCGUUGCCGGAACUGGAUUCUGUAUCCGCUUUUUAUCAUAGCGAGUACCCAACGAUCUGAGAUUUUCCUCUCCCAGCUGUCCAGGCAUAGCUGGGAGCAGAUUCCGGCAGCUCUUCCAGGAUUGCUACGCAGUUCCCCCAUAGGGGGAUUUCACUGAGCCGCUGCGAACCGUGGAGACAGUGUGAUAACUAAAUUCCUUGAUUCCAAAAUUUUUUAUUUAUUUAUUUAUUUUUUAUGCAACACCUAUCUAUGCGCGAAUGCACAGAUAAAGACAGGUGACCGAUUCCCCUCUGCUGCGAACAGCAGAUCACCAGGUAAACAAAUAAACCUCCUUUCAACUGAUGUGAAUAUAGAGCAAAAAGUUACUCACCACAUCCAUACGCUUCUUAAGCGUCGGAAUACAAUCCCUGAAAAUAUAGAAGAAAAUAUAGAAGAAAAAGGAAAAAAAUACCGCAAUCCUCAGGGGCACCAGGCGCCUGCACUAUAGUGACGGAUUGAAUGGGUACAGAUUUCCAAAUAACAGCGUAUACACGCGGAUUUCCUACAAACCGGUCUCUAGAGAGGCGAGAAAGGCAAAGAGGAAGUGUUCGGUUAACGGACACUGUGAUGAAGCUCUUAUGUGUUUGCAGUACACAAGCCACGGACGGUUAAUACUGAUGACUUCACUGUGAUGUAACCGUCUCUCUUUCUCUCUCUCUUACUCUCUCUCUUUCUCUCUCUUUCUCUCUCUCUCUCUCUCUCUCUCUCUCACACACACACACACAAUGCGUAAAA